rnacentral:tRNA from 3 species
GCGCCUGUAGCUCAAUUGGAUAGAGCAACGGCCUUCUAAGCCGUCGGUUGCAGGUUCGAGCCCUGCCAGGCGUACCA